rnacentral:rRNA from 1 species
GUGAGGAAUUUUCCGCAAUGGGCGAAAGCCUGACGGAGCAAUGCCGCGUGAAGGAGGAAGGCCUAUGGGUUGUAAACUUCUUUUCUCAGAAAAGAAUUAUGACGGUAUCUGAGGAAUAAGCAUCGGCUAACUCUGUGCCAGCAGCCGCGGUAAGACAGAGGAUGCAAGCGUUAUCCGGAAUGAUUGGGCGUAAAGCGUCGGUAGGUUGUUUAAAAAGUAUUCUGUCAAAGAUUAGGGCUUAACCCUAGAUAGGCAGAAUAAACUUUUAAGCUAGAGUGUGGUAGAGGCAGAGGGAAUUCCCAGUGGAGCGGUGAAAUGCGUAGAUAUCGGGAGGAACACCAAAGGCGAAGGCACUCUGCUGGGCCAAUACUAACACUGAGAGACGAAAGCGAGGGGAGCAAAUGGGAUUAGAAACCCGGGUAGUCC